UCAAGAACAAACUACGAGUGAAAAUUGAAAAUAGGGAGUGCAUUUAUUCCAGAUGAUUAGUAUCUAAUAUUGUUUUUCUAAAUGUUCAUAAUAAUAAACAUCCUCAAACAUUAAACAUAAAAGGUUGAGCCUCCAACAAGCCAAGUUAUUGACAACUACCACUCACCUUCACUUUCCUAAUGUUAUUAAUCUGAAAAAGAAACAAAUUGGGCAAUGCUCAUGUGCAGUCAGAGAGAAACCUUAUUAGUGCUGGCUUGUACCGAGCAGGAAAGUUUGGCAUCGCAAUAAAGAGAUAUAUUUGAUAGAAUCUCGACAAAGAACAAAAAAAUUGGCGUGUAAAAGUGACAAUUACUAGUAUAACAUAACAGCAAUCCUUCCACUCAGCUGGAAUGAAUAGCCAAACAUGGAGGCUCGAAGAAACAGAAAUUAAGCAGAUUUGGAACAAUUCAAAGGAUGCACAUCAACAACAAACAAAAUCAACAAAUCUUUCCACUUUAUGUUAACACAAAAAAGAACCUUCAACGCACCAGGUAGAUUAUAAAUCACAAACAGUAGCUUCCCAACAACACAAAACAAGUCACCCUUAAUGACAACAAAAUUGUAAAAAAAAUUUAUACUCAUGAUCGCAUAAUGACAAUCCUGCCAUCUAUUUGAAUUAUAUGAAGAAGGUAGUAUAUACCAAAGCUGCAAGAGCUAGAUUUCAAGUACUUUCCUAAAGAAUUUAAAAAAGCAUGCCCAUCAACAAAAAAACAGAAUCAUUAAAAACAAACAAAUUGAAAAAGAAAAUAGUGAAUCACAGUAUACUUUCUAUACACUGUUGAGUGUUGUUGAGCUUUGGAAAAGCUUUUCGGCUAGUAUCUGCUCGCUGAAAACCUAUUCAUCUCUAGUCAACACCAAAAAAAAUAGAAAAUCCAAACACUCAAAACCCAAAACCCUAGGCGAAGUGAUAAUAAUUUUCAUGUCAAAAACCCUACUUGCUACUGAAGAACGAGACGGUUAUGUAUAAAAUUUGAGCAAUUGCUGAAUUGCUUGGCGUAGAACCUAGAGAACAAACGCAAAUCAAAUCGGGACAGGUGGCGAAACACCAUAGACAGAAGAUUUGAAUGAGGUAAAUCGCGGGACUUAAUCAGCAUGAAACGAGUGAGAGACAGUCUGUAAACCUGGGUAACGUUUUUUAUUCGCUUUCGGGUGUUGGCAGAAGAAGACAGCCGAGAAACUAUAUCGCAUAUGAUAUAGUUUUCCAAAAUGGAAUAAUAUUGGGUAAUACCACCUCUGUACUUUAUGCUCAUUUUUACUUUACACCACUUUUUUUUUUAAUUGGUAUAUCGAUCCUCACACUUAUAUCAAAUAGCAUGUAAUCCUCCGUCCCGCUUUGCCCAUUGACAAGAGAAAUGAUGGAAAAGACCAUGUGUCACUUUUUCUCGGGAAUAUUUUGCUUUGCACCUCUAACAACUUUCAGCCCGAGUCACUUUGUCAACAAAAACCCUUUACUUUUAUUUGGGACAGUCGAUCCUAGUCACUUUAAGAAGUCAAACAAGGAAUACGUCCCACACCCCAGUCCCAUUUUCGUUUGAAAUGUGAACGAAAAAUAUUAUUAUCAUUUACAGGGCAUCAUAGAGAUUUUCUCUCAACAAAUUUCACUUUGAUGUCUUCCUGUCUCUUGAUGGUGCUUAUAUAAUAACAAUGGUGUUGUCCACUUGCCAAAAAACAACUUUUCCACCAAGUCCUGAAAAGGGGCGGAUGGAUGGGAGACUCUACUAUGGUGGAAUGUGGUAGCAUUGUUAUUUUGAGUAAUAUGUUGAUUGUUUAGAUAUCUAGAAGCAUUCCCAUGGUCAGAACUGUACUGGCAUACCAAGGGCAACAAUGAAGACCGAGUAGUUUUUUGAGUUAACAAGGGCGUGAUAUUUAAAAACCUCAAUACUAGGCCUAGCUGUUAAAAUUUUAGCUUUGUCCACAACCUAUAGGAGUAAUCGCUUAGGAAUGCAUAUCUAGAAGUAGGAGCCUCCCCAAAUCACAUGCGAGUGGGCACGUCAAAUCAUUAGAGUUUGCACGAUAAUGAAGGUAAAACAAACGCAAAAUACCUCAUAGUUAAUGGAACCACAUUUCUUUGUAUCGAGUCGAAUACGAGUUUACGCCGUCAUUACUGGUGCUUCCGUUGCAGAUAGUAGGUUGGUCCUACUUAUUUAUUCAAUCCAGUGGCAAACCUCAGUCUAAACAUUGAGAAGAUAAAACUACGAACCAUUUUACUAAACACAUUCAGAUAACAGUUUAAAUACUAACAUUCAGUCCAAUAAAGUUGGACCUCUGGCUAGAGAAGAAGAAGAAGAACCAUAGUUUCUGUUGGUCCGUCACAGAAAAAUCUCAGUUGUGCGUUCUAACCCUCAACUUAAAAAUAGCCUCACCCAAAGCAUCUUGCAAAACCCAAAUUUGAUCACCCAACCUGCUCCUCUGGUCCCUCUUGCCUGGAACAGUGUUCCUUCUGAACAUCUACACCUGCAAA
rnacentral:lncRNA from 1 species